UGAAUUCCUGAUUUUAAUUGGUGAGAAAUGAUCCUGAUAAAAAAUAGAAAACAUAACGGGAACAAGUUAUUUUCGAAAGAAAAAACUGCAGCACUUUGACUAUAUUUCAAAUAAUCUUGGAUGAUAAUGUAGUAUGUCAAAUAUUUAAUGAACAUGUAGCCUAUUUUCUAUAUGUUAGUAGUGGUGCUAGCGUUAUUCUUUAUGUUGUUAUUACAUGGUGUGUAUAUUGCUCUUUAUCGAGAAAUCGAAGAAGCUAUACAGGGGUUUUCUCGGGCCUAUUCAUCUGGUACCUAACGUAAUUCUAUGAUACCCGUGGGACUUCGGGGCUCUCCGGUUCAGCUAGGUCCAUAGUUCCGGAAUUUAUACGCGAAUCAAGAUCGAUAAAAGGAAGUUUUACAAUCACCGACUCCCUCCAAAUGCGUUAUAUUGGGCUUUUGACCUGAUUUGUCAACAACGGGUCUUGGCGCCUUGGCUGCUGCUUAAACAGGACAUCCUAUCAGAAGCCCGUGUAUAUUAGUCAAAGAUGUGACUUUCACAGGUCCGAUGGCUUUUUGACUGGUGUGCCUGAAAAUGUGAUUGAUAAAUGGGCUUUUGAAACUCGAUUUGUUUGAGUAAGAGUUAGCUCGUCUAUCGAGCCGAGGUUUUUUUUGGAAACAGCCUCCCUACCUGAGGCUACCUCUGGAGUAGGGGUAAGUUAUGCAUACACUAUAUCCUUCCUAGACUCCACUAGUGGGAUUCUAUUGAGUUAUUGUUGUUGUUGUAGUAAGAGUUAGAUACAAAUAUCAGCUUUCGGGUGCGGCCCUUUCUAGGACCCUGUAUCUGCAUGAACGCGAAAUAUUUUGUGCACCGGGCUAAUUUUUUUUUUUUUUUUUUUUUUUACUGUUUGGUGAAAAAGCAACGGAAGUGGAGACAACUACCCUCUAUAGCCCCUCAAAAAGUUUAAUAGCCCAUGUUUUUUUCACUUACAAGAAAUGGCCUUCGGCCCAAACUUAUUGCAUCCAAUAGCUCGAAAUAUCUACUUUAUAUAUUUUUUGUAUAGUGACGGUCUGUUUUGUAUAUUUUUUUGUGUAUUGAUAAUCUAUUUUGUAUAUUCUUUGUAUAGUGACACUCUAUUUUAUAUAUUUUUUUGUAUAAUGACAGUUUAAUGUAUAUAAAUUAUAUAGUGACAAUCUAUUUUGUAUAUAAAUUGUAUAGUUAUAAUCUAUGUUGUAUAUUUUUUGUAUAAUGACAGUCUAUUUUGUAUAUAUUUUGUAUAAUCAUAGUCUAUUUUUUAUAUUUUUUGUAUAGUGAUAGUUUUGUUUAGUAUGUAUUUUGUUUCCAAUUAUCACUUUCAGAAACAUGUUUCAAUACGUAAAAUAUGUUUGAUUCAUCUUCCAAUGAAGAGAAAAUCAAAAAUUAUCAUAGCCUCAUUGUAUAUAAAAUGAAACAGAGAGUAACAAUAAAUUGAGGAUCAGAUUUGUGUUUAACCUCAGGCAAAAAAAGAGAAUCCAACGACGCCAUGGUUGCAAAAACCCACUGGGAGCAUGCCCCGCCAAGAUAUGGGUCGAGUUAUCUCAAAAUUCCCCGAUUGAUUAAUAAGCUCAGAAGGGAAUGACAAAAUCAUCAUCGCCUUUUUUAGCCGCCGAUUAUACUCACCGACACCGCUUCCACCAGCUCCACCGGCAAACAUAGAUUGCUCCGGCGAAAGCAUUAAAGAAAGAAAAAGAAAAAAAAAAGUGGAAGGGUUGUUACUAAUGCUAUUCUUAUACACUCUACCAAACGACCCCUUAAUAAAAUUGAUAAAAAAGGCUGUUGUUUGGGUUCUUACAGUAUAUGGAGAAAUCAAUGGCUAAUUACAGAGAGAGAGGCAACCGAUCGAGAUGAUAGAAGAGAACGGGGAAAGGAUAGGGAUCGGGAUAGCAGAUUGAGCCUCUUAGUUAAUUACUUUUGAGCUAGCCCCUAGAAUUACUUUUGGG
rnacentral:lncRNA from 1 species